UUCCAAGGGGCAAUGAACACAGAUCUAACUCCAGUUCUGAGAGGAGAAGAUCCUUGUGCACUGUGUUUCUUUGAUGAUAUCCUCAUCUUCAGUAAAACCUUGAAAGAACACUUUAUACAUUUGGAGAAGGUGCUGAGUAUUCUGUUGGAAAAACAAUGGAGAGUGAAGUUGAGCAAGUGUGACUUUGCUAAACAAGAAAUUGCUUAUCUGGGCCAUGUUAUUAGCAAUGAAGGAGUUUCAACAGAUGCUAGCAAAAUUGCAACUGUUAAGAGUUGGCCAGUGCCUACUGAUGUGAAGCAAGUCAGAGGAUUUCUGGGCUUAACUGGGUACUACAGGAAGUUUACCAGGAACUAUGGGAUGAUCAGUAGACCAUUAACUGAUCUGUUGAAAAAGGGGGCUAUCUUUGUGUGGACACCAGCUACAGAGAUAUCUUUCCAAACUCUGAAGCAAGCUCUUAUUCAUGCUCCUGUCUUGGCAUUACCUGAUUUUUCUAAGCAAUUUGUGGUUGAAACUGAUGCUUGUGAUGUUGGGAUUGGUGUUGUUCUGAUGCAGCAGGACCACCCCAUUGCUUUUGUCAGCAGAGCUCUAGGUCCUAGGAACAGAGGGUUAUCUGUUUAUGAGAAGGAGUAUCUAGCUAUAUUGUUAGCUAUUGAGCAGUGGAGACCAUACUUACAGUUCCAAGAGUUCAUUAUCAGGAUAGAUCAAAAAAGUUUGGUGAAUCUUCCUGAUCAGAGACUGCAUACACCCUGGCAACAAAAAGCUCUCACAAAAAUGAUGGGAUUGAAUUAUAAGAUUGUUUACAAGAAG
rnacentral:rRNA from 1 species